CAAAAUAAAAACCCUUAAUCUUCCAUGAGUCAUUCCAAGAGUUGUAACUAUAUUUUAUGAUCAUAAUUAAUGCUUGUAAGUCACAUAUCUU